rnacentral:lncRNA from 1 species
CCGUGGAAGCCCGGAUGGAGACCGCUUAUUGUAGAAGCUCGGCUGAAGCCCGCCUGUAAUAGAAGUUCGGAAGGAAUUCAUUUACAGUAGAAGCUCGGAUGGAAUUCGCUUACAGUAGAGAUCCGACUGGUAGAGUCUGUCUCAUUGUAGAAGUUUGGAGUAGAGACCCGUCUGGUGGAGCCUGUCUCGUUGUAGAAGUUCAUCUGUGAUCCAUCCACUGUGGAAGUUUAGCCGGGAUCCAGCUCUUGUUAGGAGCUCGGAUGAAAUUCGAAAGGCGGUCGACCAUCGUAGAAACUUGGAAGGAGUCUGGUUAUUGUAGAAAUCCUGCUGUCAAAGAAGCUCGGACAUUGACGAAGUCUGAAAGAAGUUUGGAGUAAAGUCAUCCGUGGCCGGAAGAAGUCUGAAAAAAAUUUAGAGAAUAGUCGAUCACUAUAGAAAACCAGCUGAUAGCGAAGCUCAGAAAGCAUUUGAAGCAGCUCGGUAGAUGAAUGGAGUAGCUCAUUAUCGGAGAAGUCCGGAUAUUAUUAUGGAAGCUCGGACGGUCGGGGAAGUUCAGAAAGACGCUGCACA